CAAAGCACCAUAAAAUUUAAAUAAUCAUUCAGAAGUUGUUUUGUGGAAGCUGCUCAACAUUCAAAUUAUCUUUGGAUGAAUUUGUGGGGGAGAAAGUGGUCUCCCUAUCCUAUUCCUCCUCCAUCUUGGGACAGCCCCC